rnacentral:rRNA from 1 species
CCUACGGGUGGCAGCAGUGGGGAAUAUUGCACAAUGGGGGAAACCCUGAUGCAGCGACGCCGCGUGAGUGAAGAAGUAUCUCGGUACGUAAAGCUCUAUCAGCAGGGAAGAAAAUGACGGUACCUGUCUAAGAAGCUCCGGCUAACUACGUGCCAGCAGCCGCGGUAAUACGUAGGGGGCAAGCGUUAUCCGGAGUUACUGGGUGUAAAGGGAGCGUAGGCGGAAGUGCAAGUCCGGAGUGAAAUCCCGGGGCUUAACCCCAAAAUUGCAUUUGAAACUGUGCGGCUGGAGUGCAGGAGGGGUAAGCGGAAUUCGUAGUGUAGCGGUGAAAUGCGUAGAUAUCACGAGGAACACCGAUGGCGAAGGCGGCUCACUGGACUGUAACUGACGUUGAGGCUCGAAAGCGUGGGGAGCAAACAGGAUUAGAUACCCUGGUAGUC